rnacentral:rRNA from 1 species
UACGGUGGGAGCAAGCGUUGUUCGGAUUUACUGGGCGUAAAGGGCGCGUAGGCGGCGUGACAAGUCACUUGUGAAAUCUCCGGGCUUAACCCGGAGCGGUCAAGUGAUACUGUCGUGCUAGAGUGCGGAAGGGGCUACUGGAAUUCUCGGUGUAGCGGUGAAAUGCGUAGAUAUCGAGAGGAACACCUGAGGCGAAGGCGGGUUGCUGGGCUGACACUGACGCUGAGGCGCGAAAGCCAGGGGAGCGAACGGG